GUCCACGCCGUAAACGAUGGGUGCUAGGUGUGGGCGGUGUCGACUCCGUCCGUGCCGAAGCUAACGCAUUAAGCACCCCGCCUGGGGAGUACGGCCGCAAGGCUAAAACUCAAAGGAAUUGACGGGGGCCCGCACAAGCAGCGGAGCAUGUGGUUUAAUUCGACGCAACGCGAAGAACCUUACCUAGGCUUGACAUGCACGGGAAUGUCGUGGAAACACGGCAGCCCUUCGGGGCUCGUGCACAGGUGGUGCAUGGCUGUCGU
rnacentral:rRNA from 1 species